UGCGGAAGGAUCAUUGUCGAAUCCUGCACGGCAGAACGACCCGCGAACGUGUUUUACACAUCCGUAGGGGUGCGUCCGGCCUCGGUCGUCGCCCUCCCUACCGCGGGGAUGGGGUGCGGGCGGACAACCCGGUCGUCCCCUCGUGCCCCGUCCCCCAAGAACAACCCCCGGCGCUGGAUGCGCCAAGGAAUCGUAAUCGAUAAAAGGAAGGAGCGAGCCCCCCUCGCACGUCGGGAACGACGAUCGCGAGGGGUGGCCCGGCAUCCUCUCAGAAUCCAAACGACUCUCGGCAACGGAUAUCUCGGCUCUCGCAUCGAUGAAGAACGUAGCGAAAUGCGAUACUUGGUGUGAAUUGCAGAAUCCCGUGAACCAUCGAGUCUUUGAACGCAAGUUGCGCCCGAAGCCUUCGGGCCGAGGGCACGUCUGCCUGGGUGUCAUGUGCAUAGUCGCCCCGGCCCCCCACCCCCGUCCGGGGAACGGGUGCCGGGGCGGAAGUUGGUCUCCCGUGCGCUCCCGCUCGCGGUUGGCCCAAACAAGAGUUCUCGGCGGCGAACGCCACGGCGAGCGGUGGUUGAACGACCCUCGGAUGUCGUCGUGAGCGGAGCCGCCUCCUCGUCGACCCUCAUCGUCCCCGUUGCGACCCCAGGUCAGCGGGAACACCCGCUGAGUUUAAAGCAUAUCAAUAAGCGG
rnacentral:rRNA from 1 species